GGGGCUGACCUGGUUUUGACAGCAAGCCGCGGUGGUAUGUAAGCAUGCAGAGUAGGGUGACGCAUCUCUAUAACUUGUGUCUCACAACAACAACUGGCGAGAAUAACUACGCUCUUGCUGCGUAACCUGCUAAGCAGAUUAUGCUUUAUCCCGGCACAAGGUGCCGGGACGAGACGUUUCCCGGGCGGUGAUGCCCUGUACCAACCCGAUAAGGAAGCGCACGCAAUUCAGGGAUUGCCUGAUGGUCUCUCCAGCCUGACGGUGAAAUAAAAGGAGAUAAGGAGUGAUUCGGAUGUCUGCCACCUGGUCAUUCCCGACAAUCAAGGCAGAAUAAGCAUGUAGAAAGCAUAUGGUCGCCUUGCCUGGACGCGGGUUCGACUCCCGCCA
rnacentral:tmRNA from 1 species